rnacentral:rRNA from 1 species
CCCUUUGUGAACAUNACCUAUAACUGUUGCUUCGGCGGGUAGGGUCUCCGUGACCCUCCCGGCCUCCCGCCCCCGGGCGGGUCGGCGCCCGCCGGAGGAUAACCAAACUCUGAUUUAACGACGUUUCUUCUGAGUGGUACAAGCAAAUAAUCAAAACUUUUAACAACGGAUCUCUUGGUUCUGGCAUCGAUGAAGAACGCAGCGAAAUGCGAUAAGUAAUGUGAAUUGCAGAAUUCAGUGAAUCAUCGAAUCUUUGAACGCACAUUGCGCCCGCCAGCAUUCUGGCGGGCAUGCCUGUUCGAGCGUCAUUUCAACCCUCAAGCUCUGCUUGGUGUUGGGGCCCUACAGCUGAUGUAGGCCCUCAAAGGUAGUGGCGGACCCUCCCGGAGCCUCCUUUGCGUAGUAACUUUACGUCUCGCACUGGGAUCCGGAGGGACUCUUGCCGUAAAACCCCCAAUUUUCCAAAGGUUGACCUCGGAUCAGGUAGGAAUACCCGCUGAACUUAAGCAUAUCAAUAAGCGGAGGAAAAGAAACCAACAGGGAUUGCCUCAGUAACGGCGAGUGAAGCGGCAACAGCUCAAAUUUGAAAUCUGGCCCUAGGCCCGAGUUGUAAUUUGCAGAGGAUGCUUUUGGUGCGGUGCCUUCCAAGUUCCCUAGAACGGGACGCCAGAGAGGGUGAGAGCCCCGUACAGUUGGACACCAAGCCUUUGUAAAGCUCCUUCGACGAGUCGAGUAGUUUGGGAAUGCUGCUCAAAAUGGGAGGUAUAUUUCUUCUAAAGCUAAAUACCGGCCAGAGACCGAUAGCGCACAAGUAGAGUGAUCGAAAGAUGAAAAGCACUUUGAAAAGAGGGUUAAACAGCACGUGAAAUUGUUAAAAGGGAAGCGCUUGUGACCAGACUUGCGUCCGGUGAAUCACCCAGCUCUCGCGGCUGGGGCACUUCGCCGGCUCAGGCCAGCAUCAGCUCGCUGUCGGGGACAAAAGCUUCAGGAACGUAGCUCUCUUCGGGGAGUGUUAUAGCCUGUUGCAUAAUACCCUUCGGCGGGCUGAGGUACGC